rnacentral:rRNA from 1 species
AUAGCCUAACGGCUGAACCAGCAACUUGGAGGAAUGUAUAGCGAAAGCUAAUUGUAUUAGCAGGCAAUGGUUAAUACAAUAUCGACUAUGUCGACUAAAAUUCUAGGUAGAGUAAUGAUAAUGACAUUUUUUACCUAUGUGUCUUGACCAAGUCACGUGCCAGCAGUCGCGGUAAUACGUGGAAGACUAGUGUUAUUCAUCUUUAAUAGGUUUAAAGGGUACCCAGACGGUAUAUUUAGCCCAAAAAGGGUACUAAAUAAACUAGAGUUUAAUGUGAGGGGGUUUAUAGUACAAGUGGUGUAGAGAUGAAAUUCUGUCAUACCAGGAGGUAACUGGCAGCGGCGAAAGCAACCCUUUAUGCAAAAACUGACGUUGAAGGACGAAGGCUUGUGUAACCAAAAGGAUUAGAUACCCCAGCAGUGCUAGCAGACAACGCUGAAUGCCAUAGAUUAGAUUAUAUUUCUUCUAUAAAUGAAAGUGUAAGCAUUCCACCUCAAGAGUAAUUUGGCAACAUAGGAAUUGAAAUCAUUAGACCGUUUCUGAAACCAGUAGUGAAGUAUGUUGUAUAACUAGCCGGUACGCAAAAAACCUUACCACAAUUUGAAUAUUUUUAUAAUUAUACAAGAGUUGCACGGCUGUCUUCAGUUAAUGUCGUGAGAUUCUGGUUAGUUCCAUUAAAUUAACGUAAACCCUUACUUUAUUUUUAUAUAAAGUAGUUCACCGCUAUAUUGGAUAUGAUAGAAGGGACUAAGAUAAGUCAUCAUGGCCUGAAUAUUGUGGG